rnacentral:rRNA from 1 species
AUUCCAGCUCCAAUAGCGUAUAUUAAAGUUGUUGCAGUUAAAAAGCUCGUAGUCGGAUUUUGGCAUCACGCCGAACUGUCAGCCGAUUGGUUUGUACGGUUUGGCGGGUGCUCUCCUUCCGGAAGCUCGUUCCCUUCUUAGUUGACGGGUUCGAUGGUUCCGGGUCUUUUACUUUGAAAAAAUUAGAGUGUUCAAAGCAGGCCUAUGCUCUGAAUAGGUUAGCAUGGAAUAAUAGAAUAGGACUUUGGUUCUAUUUUGUUGGUUUCUAGGACCGAAGUAAUGAUUAAUAGGGACAGUUGGGGGCAUUCAUAUUCCAAUGUCAGAGGUGAAAUUCUUGGAUUAUCGGAAGAUGAACUUCUGCGAAAGCAUCUGCCAAGGAUGUUUUCAUCG